AUACUCCUGACUGACCGAUAGUGAACCAGUACCGUGAGGGAAAGGCGAAAAGAACCCCGGCGAGGGGAGUGAAAAAGAACCUGAAACCGUGUACGUACAAGCAGUGGGAGCACAGAGCAAUCUGUGUGACUGCGUACCUUUUGUAUAAUGGGUCAGCGACUUAUAUUCUGUAGCAAGGUUAACCGAAUAGGGGAGCCGAAGGGAAACCGAGUCUUAACUGGGCGUUAAGUUGCAGGGUAUAGACCCGAAACCCGGUGAUCUAGCCAUGGGCAGGUUGAAGGUUGGGUAACACUAACUGGAGGACCGAACCGACUAAUGUUGAAAAAUUAGCGGAUGACUUGUGGCUGGGGGUGAAAGGCCAAUCAAACCGGGAGAUAGCUGGUUCUCCCCGAAAGCUAUUUAGGUAGCGCCUCGUGAAUUCAUCUCCGGGGGUAGAGCACUGUUUCGGCAAGGGGGUCAUCCCGA
rnacentral:rRNA from 1 species